AUUGAACGCUGGCGGCAUGCUUUACACAUGCAAGUCGAACAGCAGCGCGGGCUUCGGCCUGGCGGCGAGUGGCGAACGGGUGAGUAAUGCAUCGGAACGUGCCCAGUAGUGGGGGAUAGCCCGGCGAAAGCCGGAUUAAUACCGCAUACGACCUGAGGGUGAAAGCGGGGGACCGAAAGGCCUCGCGCUAUUGGAGCGGCCGAUGUCGGAUUAGCUAGUUGGUGGGGUAAAGGCUUACCAAGGCGACGAUCCGUAGCUGGUCUGAGAGGACGACCAGCCACACUGGGACUGAGACACGGCCCAGACUCCUACGGGAGGCAGCAGUGGGGAAUUUUGGACAAUGGGGGCAACCCUGAUCCAGCCAUGCCGCGUGCGGGAAGAAGGCCUUCGGGUUGUAAACCGCUUUUGUUCGGGAAGAAAUCCUCUGGGCUAAUACCCCGGGGGGAUGACGGUACCGGAAGAAUAAGCACCGGCUAACUACGUG
rnacentral:rRNA from 1 species